AUUGCUUCUCAUCCUUUUGUCUAAGAUCAAGUGUAGUAUCUGUUCUUAUCAGUUUAAUAUCUGCUACGUUCUAAACUAUUUAAGAAAAUAAGAAUGCAGUUUUAGCACUUCUUUUUUUGUUGUUUUUUACUCCUGUAAGUAAAGUUUCAAAGUGGUUUCCCAUUGCCCUAAGGAUAAGGCAAGAUCUA
rnacentral:snRNA from 1 species